CAUUCCAAAAUUUCUAACCACCCCAAAAAAAGUUAAACAAGUACCAUGAUAACUAACAAAACAAGACUAUUCAUUCGGUAACAAAAUAUAUAUAAACAAUAAAUUACAUGUCUCUGACCAAAUUUGAUCUAGAUAUACUUUUUGCUUAUAUUUUAUUAUGAUCUAGAGAUAUAUAUUUUUUUACUUAUAUUUUAUUAAGAAGGGAGUAACAUUUUGGUGUAGCUAGCUAGCCAGUGCCUGUGACACCAAGGUCUUGCUUAUUCUCAUCUUUACCAGCACCAAAGACAGGACCACCUUUUCCAGCAGGAUCGUGAACCUUCUCUUGCAACUUAUCCACUUGAAUGCCACCUUGAUCCUCUUUUGAAAGCAAAUUAGUCCUUGUACGAUUCUCUCCUCCUUCUAUUGAUUCAUAUGUUGUUGCUGUUUUUGACUCCUUUGGUUGUGCUCCUUGUGCCCCUGACAUCCUCUCUAAUAAUUCACUUUUUAUUUAUUGAUUUUUCACUUUUUUAUCUGCUCAUUUAAUUUCUACUAACACUAUUUUAUAGUGGCAUUGCAUUAUACCAACAACAACCUACGUGUUAUGUUAACAUGCCAUGAGUCUACACGUGUGCCAUGACUUGUGCCAAAUGUCAUUUUUGUUUUCCUCUUCUGCCACGUUUUGUUUAACGGAUAUUUUUCUUAUGAACUUUAAGUUUUUUGUAGAAGUAUCUAAAUUAUUAUUCUUAACUGUUUAAAAGUAUUAGUUGAAUAUUUUUGAGAUACUUCACACACACACAUAUAUAUAUAUAUAUUUAGGAAAGAUGAAGGAAAUAAAAAAGUGAAAAAAGUGUGAGACACCAAAUUGUAUCAAAGAAAGAGAAGCAUAGUCUUGAUUUUUUUAUGAAUUGUUUCAUAAUUUUUUUAUGAAAUGUGUUAUAUUGUUGACUUAACUCCUCUUUCUUUGAUUUUCAUUUCUAUAAUCUAUUCAAUGUAAGUUGUAACAUUAUGAAAUAAUUGUAAAAAAAAAAAAUAAAGACUUUACUUGAAAUUAUAGACAGCCAACCCAACCAAAAACCCUAGGAAAGCACCAGCUAUGACUUCAACCUCAGUAUGACCAACAGUUUCUUUCAAUUGCAGUAGACCAUCACUAACCAACUUUGAGAUUUGUUUUGAAUCUUCUGAGAACAAGUCAGAGGAUAGUAACUCCUCAUCACUUAGCUUUAUUUUGCUUCCUGAUUUAACUAAUACACUUGCAUUAGCCUGUUGUGGUUCCAAAGACUUAGCUUCUAGAGACAAAAGGGACUUUUCGUGAGCUUCUAAUUUUGGUGGAUUGGAUGAAUCAGGAUGAGAGUUGAUCAAAGCAUCUUUAUGUUUGGAAUGUAAAUGGUUGAGAUGCAUUUGGAGAAGUAGUUUGUUUACGGUCUUAGCAUGAAUCCCUACUUCUCUUCUUACACCCUGCAAAUCAUGAAGUCAUAGUCUCAAUUGUCAUCCAACCAGAUCACAUUCACUGAUAAAAUAAACAAUCAAGUUCAAUAAGCAGAACAGCAUGAUAAAGGGAAUUUGCUUGGAGAAAAGUUGUGUCUGCUGGACUUAAGUGCAUGUUUGAAUUUACCAUGAAUUUAAAAAAAUUGAGGCAGAUGGUUUUGUUGAAGCUCUAAAGUGUAGUUUUUGCUUAAACCACAAUGGCACACUAUGAUUCAACCAAACUCUCCAUGAAUGGACAAUGUUUAAACAACUGACUAUGGACAAUGUUUGGUCAUAAUGACCAUAAUUACAGGGUGAAACAAAAAGUUAGUUUCAAGAAAUAUAUGAAGUUUCACAAUAAAUAAGUAAACUAUAGUGUUUGCAAUGAACAAUAAACGGUAAGACUAGUAGGCAUCAUUAAAGGUUUUUAACUAUGUAGCACAUGUCUGGUGUCCAACAUGUAUCGGUGUCGAGCACCAAUGUAACACUGAAAAAUGUAGUUCCUAAUUAUAUUCAAUUACAUCUGUUUUUUCAAAUUAUUACUAGUAUUUUCGUGUUUGUGUCGUAUGCAAUGUCUAUGUUAAUGCUUCAUAGGCUUUUAAGCACGUUAUAUUGAACAAACAAAUCUUUUUUGCAUUAAAAGGUUGCUAAAUGAGCAAACCCAAAUCUAGCUGCAGGCUACAUCAUAUCAAAUUAUCAACCCUUUUUAAAGACAUCUAAAUCUGAGGACUCAGCUAUCUUUCCGUCAUUUGGCACCAAUAAUCUAAAAAUAGAACAACAACAACAACAUUCUUCCAUAUGGAUCAAUCGUCACUAUACAGUUCUGGUAGCAUUACACUGAAUAUAGCUGUGCUGUCUUAAAUCCGAGCUAACAAAUUUCAUACUAUAAUUUCUCUCCCACUCAAGUGACAACCUUACCUUUCUUCCCUAGUAGAACCUUCAUUCAUUAAAUUUAUAUAGGUUAAAAUGUUAAUGAAGUGACAAGGUCAAUGCAGUUGUAGCCUAUACAAAGGAGAUCAAAUCAAGUACAUGAUGCAAUAUUGUUAACUCAGUAGUUAGAUCAUCUUAUAAUAUCUUUUACUGCAAUUUGAGUUUAGGUGUUGAGUGACAACUCCUUGUCAUUUUCAUUGUUCAUUGUGUAAUUUCAUUUUUCAUCUUAUAACAUCUCUUCCCGUUUACCAAUAAUACCAUGGUAAGAACUCCACAAAUAGUUUGAUCAUUAAUUAGAGACAAUCAUAUAGCGACAAUACUCAAUAUCUUAGAAGAUCCUAAUUUAAUCCGACCUAAAGAUUCCUUCAUUAAAUUUGACAUAGUCUAUCGAGCCUUGUGGUGUUUCUCAAAUAGAUUAAGUGUUGUCAAUCGCAUAAAAUAACUGUUUGUUCAAUAUUUGCUACGCUACAACACUACGGUGCCACUCUAGCAGCUAAUUGACAACACUUAAUACUGAAUUGCAUAUCAUCGAGCACUAGCAGAUUGUUUAAAUUCCUCUUUGCUAUAGCAAUAUAUAGCUAUUUGACAACAUUGAAUAGACCUCACAAAUUUUGGGUUUAUUCUAACUACAAUUGAAUCCUAACAUAGUUAAAAGGACAAAUCAAAAGAUGAUGAUGUGAAAGGAUUAUAGGAAUACAUAAUGUAAAUAACAUGAAAAACUAGAUAGAAAGCACCAAAUUUUGACAGAAGAACAUCACACCUGAGCAUCAUACAUAACCAGACCAGCAUACACAACUGCAAGACCAAAAAUGGGAUCUGAGAGGCCCCUGCAUUUGGAUAACAAUAAACAAUUAAAAAAUAACGCACGAACAACUAGGGUCUAUCUACUUUCUGAAAAUGAUUUUCACUUUGUAUGGCAGUGACUGAAAUGACAUUUUUUUAUGAACUUUUGCUUUAAUUGUGAUAGAGAAAAUAUGGAAGCUAACUAGAGAGAAUGCAUUUCCGCAAACACUAUAAACAAUGCUUGACAGUUUUCACAAUUUUCAGAUUUAUUCAAUCUACUUUUAAAGGCAUUUUCAAAAACUUGUGGAAAUGAAAACAGGAAAUACAUGAAGUAAACAGGUCUUAUAUUUUUAAGAAAAUUGCAAUUUCAAGAGGGUAAAGAGAAAAAUGCCAUGAACCAAACACCAGUUGUCCUAACUGAAUUAUCUUACCUCUCAAGGCCAAGGAAUGUUGCACAAGACACUGUUGCCUAUCCACAGGAAAACGUAAACAACAAUGUGAGAAUAAAAGUGAAACCCAACUAUGUGAAAAAUCGACAAAAGUCUAUUGGCAUAGAUGAAAAUGAAAAGAAAGUAAGAUUAAUAAAAGGUUUCAAGAUCAUACAGAAGAGUGUGAAGAUGGAAACCCUCCAGGUUGAAGAAGAGCCUUGAUAUCAAACUCUUUGCCAUACAAAAACACAGAAGUAAAUGGCUUAGAAAUUUGCCCAAUUGCCAUUGAAACUCCAGCUGCAAUCAGAACCUUAACAGCAUAAUAUCACAAAUGAGAAAACAAAUGCCAAUUCAGAAAAAUAAAACAACAAAACAAUAAUUAGGAUAUGAUAGCUUAAUGUAGCACCUACACUUCAGAUUAAAGACAUAUCUAGUAAACAACACUGACACAUGUGGUUUCAUUCAAAUUUUCAGAUUAUUAUCAGUGCCUUGUUCGGUAUCAGACAUCAACACGACAGAUACACAUGUGUUUACAUUCAAAGUAUCAG
rnacentral:lncRNA from 1 species